GCCUGCACAGACGGCUGGGCCGCGUGACUUCCCAGGAAAACCGUCAGGGUCCCACCCACCGGGUCCCUGUGCGUGAAGAGGGGUAGCAAGAAAUGCCCUGAGAGGCGGGGGCAGCGGAGCCAGGGGGCUCAGACUCGGAAUGCCUGCGCCCAGGGGCAGCACCAUGCGGAGUACGCCCGGCCGCGGGGGCGCAAACUAACUCCGCACCUCGCGGGGUGCCGCACAGGCCCAGGGAGCGGCGCCGGGGGCGGGGGCGGGGCUCUGGGGCCAGAGCGGACCCCGCCGAGCGCCGUGGUGUGGGGCCUGCGGGACAAGGCGCCCGCUUUCCUUUGCAGCGCCUGCUGCCCGCGCCGGUCUCGGGGAGUGUCAGCUGGAGGGUGGGGUUGACCGGGAAGUGAACAUGGAUGUGGUGCAGAGCAGAGCGCAGGAUGGAUGGAGCGUGAAGGUGAAAGAAGGGGGUUCAGAGAGCGCCCGCUCCCAGCCGGAUGCCGGGCGCUCCCGCGGAGGGGCAUGGAGGACGCUGCCGGGCGGCAGGGCCCCAAGAGGCGUUCGUGGCGGAGACGCGGCAGGACCGGCUCUGCAUCUGCGGCGCGGGGGAGCUCCCACGCGGGGUGGGGAGGCCUACAGAGGCGCCCCCGGAGCUGGGCCUCGUUGUCACGGCUGGGAUUCCAACCGGGAAAGAUGGGGCUGGGAGCGGACCUGGGCGGGCACCGCGUGAGCUUGGGAAGGCAGGCAGGCCCGGGACUCCGCACGAAGUCUGUGGGAGACGCGCUCCCGCGGAUCCCCAGGGACGCGGGGCGAGGCCUGGGGCCGCCGCGUCCCGGGGAGGGAGGCCUGCGUGCUAGUCCUGCCUACGGAGGGGAGGCCACGCGGUCACGUCGGCCGGCAGCGUGGAUUUGACAUGCAGGGAAGAACUCGAACCCCAGGCCAGCUUGGACUCGCAGCCCUGCCUUUCGUGAACAUUGCACAACCUAUCCAACCGCCCCGUGCCUCACUUUUCUCCUCUGGGAAAUGGGCACGUUGUGAUACCAGGACACCUUGAAUGGGCCUGGCACACAGCAGAUGCUCAGUAAAGGUGGAGAAACUGGGCUCCGAGAAGCAAAGCGACUUGCUGAAGGCCACACAGCAAAGCAGAGCGGAGGCCAUUCACCAGGUGGACUCCAGGAUGAAGGGCUUCAUCUCCCACCCCCUGCGCAAACAGCACUUCACUGGCAGUUUUCUGCAAAGCGCAUCGCCAGGGCCGGGCUCCCCUUUGGGACAGUCUUCCCUCAGUGAGACUGCAGGUGGCGGCAGUGGUCACGUUGGGCUGCUCAGCCCCUACUU